GACGAACGCUGGCGGCGUGCUUAACACAUGCAAGUCGAACGGAAAGGCCCUGCUUUUGUGGGGUGCUCGAGUGGCGAACGGGUGAGUAACACGUGAGUAACCUGCCCUUGACUUUGGGAUAACUUCAGGAAACUGGGGCUAAUACCGGAUAGGAGCUCCUGCUGCAUGGUGGGGGUUGGAAAGUUUCGGCGGUUGGGGAUGGACUCGCGGCUUAUCAGCUUGUUGGUGGGGUAGUGGCUUACCAAGGCUUUGACGGGUAGCCGGCCUGAGAGGGUGACCGGCGACAUUGGGACUGAGAUACGGCCGAGACUCCUACGGGAGGCAGCAGUGGGGAAUAUUGCACAAUGGGCGGAAGCCUGAUGCAGCAACGCCGCGUGCGGGAUGACGGCCUUCGGGUUGUAACCCGCUUUCGCCUGUGACGAAGCGUGAGUGACGGUAAUGGGUAAAGAAGCACCGGCUAACUACGUG
rnacentral:rRNA from 1 species